rnacentral:rRNA from 1 species
AUUGAACGCUGGCGGCAGGCCUAACACAUGCAAGUCGAACGAGUGCCGGACGGGUGAGUAAUGUCUGGGAAACUGCCCGAUGGAGGGGGAUAACUACUGGAAACGGUAGCUAAUACCGCAUACCAUCGGAUGUGCCCAGAUGGGAUUAGCUAGUAGGUGGGGUAAAGGCUCACCUAGGCGACGAUCCCCAGCUGGUCUGAGAGGAUGACCAGCCACACUGGAACUGAGACACGGUCCAGACUCCUACGGGAGGCAGCAGUGGGGAAUAUUGCACAAUGGGGGCAAGCCUGAUGCAGCCAUGCCGCGUGUAUGAAGAAGGCCUUCGGGUUGUAAAGUACUUUCAGCGGGGAGGCGUUACCCGCAGAAGAAGCACCGGCUAACUCCGUGCCAGCCGCCGCGGUAAUUC